rnacentral:misc_RNA from 1 species
AAGUCGUAACAAGGUUUCCGUAGGUGAACCUGCGGAAGGAUCAUUAGCGAGAGCCUGCCACGGACGCAAGUCUGUGAGCAAGCGCGCCAUCCUUGUGUUGUGUGUGUUGCCUGUGCACCCGGCAGCGUCUGUGACAAUGUCUGACAAUGUCCAUGACAACGUCGUGUGCACACGCGCAUUUUCACCCAUUAUCCCAUUUAUCUAAUGCAACUGCUCAUACUGAGCACAAACAACCGAAAACUGCCAGCAAUGGAUCACUCGGUUCUC